GCAACACACCAGCUGUCUCCGUCAUGGUCUGGCUGAGACAUACGCACUGGAGCUGAGAAAAGUGGAGUAGCUAGCCUAAUACAACUAAUUAUUUACCUUGGAAGCUGGGGAGACUCUCACACCAGCAAUUUCAGGUUCUGAGUUUAUGUCAGAAGUAUAGCUGGCCUUCUUCCAAUUGUUGGCUACAUUCUGAAAAGAUGCUGAAAACAAGAAAUGCAGGAUUUACACAAGCUCCAGUCUGGAUCCAGAACACCUGAGAAGAGAUGAUGCUGACCCUCAAAGGACCUCAGAUGAUGCUAACCCAGAGACAACAUACAGAACUACCACAUUUUGUGCCAUCAAAAUAAAAGUCCGGCCUCGAACACAUCAGCCAAGCAGAAUAACUUAUCAGCUGAUGCCGAUAUUUGAAAAAUUGGCAUUGGUGAUAUAUUGGUCGACCACUACAGGUAAUCUGGGGAAAAUCAUUGUUUAAUUUACAGCACCAUUUACUCUUACCAGACUCGUGCAGUAUUCUUGCUCUAUGUCGGGUCCACCCUUUUUCUGGCUGUGGUGCCUCCAUUGUCCUAACACUCUUCAGCAACCUGUCAAGAUCUUUAUAUGGUGGCCACCAGGAGUAGCCAUCUGCAUACCAGGACUUGGAAGCUGGUCCAGUCGUCCCUUCUCCCUCAAACUCCACGAUUAGAAAUCAACUGUUGUUGAGAGGUCAUCCACUAAAUGAAUGCCAAGUGUAGAGGAUGGCAGUGGAUAGUCAAACAAGGAUUCCUGGUGGUUGAAGGUAUUGUAAGCAACAUAAAUUUCAUCCCUUAAUGAAAUGAUGUUUUGCAGCUUAGCAACUUUGCCGCCAAUGCAAACGUGACUGUUUGCCUGAUCCAAUUUCAGAGUGUGAGGGCUUGUUCUCAACUCUUUAUAUUGUGUCGCCUCAUGGAAGGAUGCAGGAAGAGGACCAGUCGCAUGUGGUUUUUUGAGCAGAUGUGGCCUGGUUUUGUGAGUUUUUUUGCAGCAUCUUUGCAUUUCUGAGAGUCUUUUUACUAUUUGACUGAGUGGGCAUGUUGGUUUCCUCAGAAGUCUUUUGAGUUUGUUUAGGUGAUUCUCAUACUUGAAAGCACUGAAGUUGUCAAGGACACCAUGCUUUUUUGCAUCAUCUGCAAGAUGUACAAGACAGUGUGCAUUGUAGGACAAGAAUUGUGGACCAUACAGUUGACCAAAGUGAGAGACAAAGAGCACCACCUACAAGUCAGAGGACCCAUCUUUAGCCACAAGAGAAGAAGCCGUCUCAUGAUUCCGAGGCACACAAGGUGCAUGUAGUCGAGGGGGAAACCAGAGACCAUGUUUAGGGAUGUUUCUUCAAGAGGUGAUGGACCAUGAUGAUGAUCAGCAUCUGUCUUAUUUCUGAAGAUCUCAUUAGUUC